rnacentral:lncRNA from 1 species
CCAUAAUUCUCAAAGACAAAAAUUCCACUUACAAAUCAAAUAGCCAAGGCACAUUGCUUAAGAAGCAAAAGACUACUUGAACCUAUGCUAAUACUACAUGCAUCUAAUAGGGUAUGUGCAUUUGGGCACUCAACCAACAAUAUUAUCUAUUGAUUUAAAAUUUUGCAAUGGUAAGGUCGCAGUAGAAUGGAAAUGCAUCAACCCCUCCCGACUCUUAUAACACACAAAGCAAUUAGUCAUGAACUGCUUAUUCUUUUUCGAAUAGUUACCUUUUUCAUUGAUAUCUUCCUCACAACUUAAAUGAGAUAAGUAGUAUGAUGAGAUAUUGAGUCUGCUAUUCCAAAUCCAUAAGAGAAAUUCAAAUCAGGAAAAAAAUACUAAGAUAAGAAACCCAAAAAUACUAUGAAACUAAGAAAAAAGUCAAAAAUUAAACCACCAAGAAAGCCACCAUGAGAGCUACAGUAUGUUAUGACAAAGAACAUGAACCAACACUAUGCAAAGUUUCUUUCAUAUUUAUGGAAGUCCGAGUCUUCACUCUAAAGCACAUCUCCUAAGGAUAAUACAGUAAUCUCCCAUAUUGUCUAGCAAAAUCACAUCCAGUUCCAUAUACAUCCUGGCUCCCAUUUAGUAAAAGUAUAACUGAAAUUUGAUUCACAGUUAAUGCAUUAAGCUAAGUUGCAAGAAUCUGCCGGUGGCUUUAAAACCAUUAUAGAAGGGAAUACGCUGGCGUUAUCUCGAUGCAAUUCAGAUGACUCUCAUAACAUAAUCUGUCAUUAUAAAGAUAAAUGCAGAUUAGCUACUAUAAUUACUAAGAAAUCAAAUAGAGAUGAGGCCUAGUUAUUUAAGGAUCAUAUCCGAAUAGCUGUAUCAUCCGACAAAGGAAAGAAAAAUAAUAAGCAGUGAAUAAUUAACAGAGCCAAAUACAGGGUUCAGUUGAGAGAAAUUUAGAGGGAUUGAACCGUUAUCUAUGUCCAAGUACCAAAAUAGCAAUAAUUAUUGUAUACUGCAGUUGUUGGCAAAUAGAGCUGAAUUUAUACAAUGUUCAAGUUCUUGUUCUCAUUCAAAUAAGCAUCGAUAGAUUUAUCAAAAAAUAAUGAGAGCAACAAUAACAAAUUUUUCAGUUUAUAGUUUAAUUCUUGACAAUAAGUAUUGCACUUAAGAACUUGUGAAAACUUGGUAUAAGAUUCUUGAUUAGAAGUCUGCACAUAAUACAUGAAGAAACAUAAAGGGGCAAUAUAGCUUUGGGGCUUGCCUUUUUCAAAAACACAAAAAAGGAUGAACCACAUCUUUUCCCUUGUCAAAUAAAUCCAAUGAGGGAAAAACAUUGACGCUAAGUAACUACUACAUGAAAUUUUAAAAAAUGAACUUAAGGAUACGCAAGCUCGCCGGACACGAUUAUUUAAAAAGUUAGUAAUAUACAUAGAGAUCACACAUGCAUUACUAUUAUGUAUAUAUAUGAUAUAUGAGGAAAGAAGGAAAUAGCAGAUUUAAUAUUCUAACAUGUUUCUCAAAUAGAACAGGAGGUUGUAAUAGCAAGACUACCCUGCAAUUGAGAGGCAAUUGACAUGAUUUAUGUUUGGAAGAAGACGAUUACGUGUUGCCUCUCGAUUUUUGAGGCAUUGUUGCAGACAAAAUUGCUCCUUUCUCAGGCAUUGUCAUAUGAUAAUAGAUCUCCCGGCUUUUGACAUCCUUAUCAUGAGCUUCCUUCACCGUGCGAGGCCUUUUUGUUUGGGACGAUCCAUUUGAAGUGUCAAUACUAAGAUCAUCCUAAAAACCUGU